AUAACUGCAGCACAUAUAUACUAAAAUUGGAACGAUACCGACAAGAUUAGAAUGGACUUUGUACAAGGGUGACAUGUAAAUUUGUGAAGUGUUCCAUAAAAAA